rfam:Cavia porcellus supercont2_0 genomic scaffold, whole genome shotgun sequence.
CCUCAAAAUAAUGAAAAGUAAAAUGAAGUAAGAGUGAUAUAGAGAAGAUUAGUAUGGCCCCUCCACAAAGGAUGAUGUGUAAGUUUAUGAAGCACUGCCUAUUUUU